UAACACUUCCGGGGCACACUCGUGCACACGCUUAUUUAUUAACUUUGUUAAGUAAUUCCCUGCAGGUGUAGCAGCAGACCAACAUUACCAUCACCUGGGCCGGUGGACUCCACGACGCCAAGAAGUCCGAAUUCUCUGGUUUCUCUUACGUGAACGACAUCGUCCUGGCCAUUUUUGAGCUGCUCAAGACAUCGGGGCCGGAAAGAGAAAAUACUAUGCAGUGAAUUACCCACGGAGCCAUCUUUAAACUGGCCCAAAGAAGAGGUUUAACCAAGUUGUUCCACUCCUGAUGAUGGCACCUUUGUUGAAUCCUGGGAGAACA